UGGAGAAGAAGCACCGGCUAACUACGUGCCAGCAGCCGCGGUAAUACGUAGGGUGCGAGCGUUGUCCGGAAUUACUGGGCGUAAAGAGCUCGUAGGUGGUUUGUCGCGUCGUUUGUGUAAGUCCGCAGCUUAACUGCGGGACUGCAGGCGAUACGGGCAUAACUUGAGUGCUGUAGGGGAGACUGGAAUUCCUGGUGUAGCGGUGGAAUGCGCAGAUAUCAGGAGGAACACCGAUGGCGAAGGCAGGUCUCUGGGCAGUAACUGACGCUGAGGAGCGAAAGCAUGGGGAGCGAACAGGAUUAGAUACCCUGGUAGUCCAUGCCGUAAACGGUGGGCGCUAGGUGUGAGUCCCUUCCACGGGGUUCGUGCCGUAGCUAACGCAUUAAGCGCCCCGCCUGGGGAGUACGGCCGCAAGGCUAAAACUCAAAGGAAUUGACGG
rnacentral:rRNA from 1 species